AACGAACGCUGGCGGCAUGCCUAACACAUGCAAGUCGAACGAAGCCUUCGGGCUUAGUGGCGCACGGGUGCGUAACGCGUGGGAAUCUGCCCUUGGGUUCGGAAUAACAGUUAGAAAUGACUGCUAAUACCGAAUGAUGUCUUCGGACCAAAGAUUUAUCGCCCAAGGAUGAGCCCGCGUCGGAUUAGCUAGUUGGUGAGGUAAAGGCUCACCAAGGCGACGAUCCGUAGCUGGUCUGAGAGGAUGAUCAGCCACACUGGGACUGAGACACGGCCCAGACUCCUACGGGAGGCAGCAGUGGGGAAUAUUGGGACAAUGGGCGAAAGCCUGAUCCAGCAAUGCCGCGUGGAGUGAUGAAGGCCUUAGGGUUGUAAAGCUCUUUACCCGGGAUGAUAAUGACAGUACCGGAGAAUAAGCCCGGCUAACUCCGUGCCAGCAGCCGCGGUAAU
rnacentral:rRNA from 1 species